CAGCAGCCCGACUUGAGCGGAAAUCCUUUUUGUGGAGCGAAGCGGAAUAAAAAGAUUGAGAGCGGAAGGCAGAUUAAGC
rnacentral:sRNA from 1 species